AGAAUUAGAUAAGUUCAUGGAGGAUAGAUCCAUCAAUGUCUGUUAGCCAAGAUGAUCAGGGACCCCAUCCUCUGUGUGUCCGUAAACCUCUAAUAAAUUGCACUGUUUUCAUCCCCUUUGAAGUAUGUUGCAUCAGCCAUGGUCAGAAGGCAGGAUAAUGGGCUAGAUUAGCCAUACUGGAUCAGACCACUGGUCAUUCUUAUAUAAGGGGAAUAGGUAAAAAUGUACUGCUUGUAGGCAAAUACAUUUAUAGCAUUCAUGAUAGAAGUGAUUAAACUGAACUUUUCCAACAGGAAAGAAGACUGAAAGAAUAACAAAGGUGGCAGAAAAGUAUUUGCAUAUACGCAAUGUCUUGAUAGACCACAUUCAUGCCAUUUUAAAUUAAGGUGCUGAGCUCUUUGAAAACCAGAUGCUAAGCUAAAGCUGCAAGUAAUCUACCAGGAGCAGAGCUGUCUGCUGGAAUACAUUACAUACAAUGCAUAGACCUUAAAAAUAAAGUCAUGCAAAUUUGG